AGUGGAAUCCGAGUCUUAAGC
rnacentral:sRNA from 1 species